GUAGUCCAUGUCUUACACCGCUUCUAGAUUACACUACUGUUGUAGAAACGUAAACUGAACACGGUACGAUUUACGACUAAAUAUUGUAACCCCUAAGAGUAGUUGAUAGGGUAGCUACGAAUAGUGAGUGACGCUGAAACGAACGGAGCAAUUGUUUCUUUAUCUUCUUUGGUUACAGUUAACCAAGAAAAGCUAUUAUUUUGGUUUAUAAUGGACGAUGUAGUUAGUCAUUCGCGUAAGCCUGUUGUGUGUCGUUAUUUCGCCGCGUCUGGAACUUGUUUUUAUGGAAAUGAUUGUCAGUUUUUACACAAUUCCAUUCCGCGAUCCAGUAUAUCUCCGACGUUUCCGAUACAUUUAUUUUCAUCGCCAUCUCGAUCAGCCAAUUCCACCACCGCAUCAAUAUCUACAGAACUAAGUUUGUCAAUUAUUGAGAUUAAAGAUGAAUGUAUGCAUAAAGCACAAGAGUUAUCCAUAUCACCAGAUAUACAAACAGCUGGAGAAUCUAAUUCAUCUCUCUUUGAGGAAAAUGUUGGUGGUACUACCUAUUAUUAUACACCAGAAGAUGACAUCAAACCUAACCAUGAAGAUCUAACUAUUCAAAAUCAUGGGGGUCAAGCUACCGAUAAAAUAGCUCAUACUGCAGUAUUGAGCAGAAGAAUUCAGUCUCCAAACCAAUUGGUCUCAACAUCACAACAACCCAAUCAUUUGUUUUCAGUUUACAGUGGGCCUUCUAGUUUUUUACUAAGUUGUACUGGUCAACAGAGAUCUUCAUUUUUUAUGAAUGAAGACAUAAGAGCUGACCUCAUCCAAAGAAACUCAGUGGCUUUAUUGACAUCAGAUCCUGCUUUAUUUCCAGAUUUACCGUCAGAUGUUGAUCAUUAUCAUGAGCUGGUUCCCCUUGAAACUCAUACAUUAAAUCAGGCUGUCAAGUCCAACACUUACGGCUUAAUUACUUCUACCUAUAAAGCCUCUAACAGCAAAACUGGCAUGCGAUAUUGCUUGAAGAGGAUUCAUGGUUACAGAGUCACGAGUGCUAAAUGUAUGUCGAUGGUUGAACUGUGGAGAAAAGUGCAACAGUGUCAUUUGGUGACUUUGAGAGAAGCCUUUACAACCAAGGCCUUUGGCGAUCAUUCCAUAGUUUUUGCAUACGAUUAUUAUCCUGGAGCUGAAACACUUCUGACGAAGUAUUUAGCUUCAACGGCUCCACAUCUGGAUCCAUUCAGCAGUGACCCUUCUGCGCCCCGUCCGUAUACAAUGCAGAAGAAUCGAAUGUUACAACAACAGGCUGGCAAAGGUGUAUUACCAGAGUCUUUACUGUGGAGUUACAUAAUUGAACUAUGUUCAGCUUUGCGAUCCGUCCAUUCCGCUGGUUUGGCCGUAAGAGCAUUAGAUCCAUCCAAAGUACUGGUGACCUCAAGAGGCCGUUUACGAUUAUGUGGUGGCGGAAUUUUUGAUGUACUCACCUAUGACUCGAGUUCUUCCAACGUCUCAGCUUUGAUUCCGCAUUAUCAGCAAGAAGACCUCUUGGCUUUGGGAAAGCUUAUUCUUGCAUUGGCCUGCAACUCUUUGUUGGCUCUCCAACGAGAUAAUGUUCCCACUUCUAUGGAUAUCAUCAGUAAAAAUUAUUCCUCGGAUCUUCGAAAUUUAGUUAUGUAUUUGCUCUCCACCCCUCAAGGUUCUAGAGCCAAGAACAUUCAGGAAGUAAUGCCUAUGAUUGGUGCUCGAUUUUUCAGCCAAUUAGAAGCAGCUACUUUGCAUGCCGACUAUCUUGAAGAUCAGCUUGCCAGAGAAUUGGAUAAUGGUCGUCUGUUCCGUUUGCUUGGAAAACUCGGAACUGUUGUUGACCGACCGGAGUUAAAUUUGGAUUCAACGUGGUCGGAAACGGGUGACAGAUAUUUACUCAAGUUGUUUCGAGAUUAUAUGCUUCAUCCUUGUACGGAUGACGGUCGACCAUGGGUUGAUUUGGCACACAUUGUCGCGUGUCUCAAUCGACUUGAUACAGCUUCGCAAGAUAAAGUAUGUGUUUUGGAAUUACUUGUUAAUUAAUCAGGGCCUGCCGACUCGGAAGAUCUUUCAUACAUCUUUUAAAAAAGAUGUGGAAGUUCUUCAGCACAGGGAAAGAACAUCAUCUCCCCAAGGCAAAAAAAAAAUAUGUUUAACUUCGCGAGAUCAACAGAACGUUCUUGUUGUAAGCUACGCUGAACUGCACCAGUGUUUGGAAACUUCUUUUAACGAACUGCAACAAGCAGCGUUAGCUCCUUCACAUGUUUUGGGAGCUUCGUCCAGUAACGAGCAAUAACUUUAGACGGGAAGACGGAUUAA
rnacentral:misc_RNA from 1 species